rnacentral:tRNA from 1 species
GGGCUGUUAGCUCAGCUGGUUUAGAGCACUGCCUCGACAAGGCAGGGGUCAUUGGUUCGAAUCCGAUACAGCCCACAA